rnacentral:rRNA from 1 species
UACGUAGGCAGCAAGCGUUGUUCGGAGUUACUGGGCGUAAAGGGUGCGUAGGCGGCUUCUUAAGUUUGGUGUGAAAUCUCCCGGCUCAACUGGGAGGGUGCGUCGAAUACUGAGGGGCUAGAGUGUGGGAGAGGAAAGUGGAAUUCCAGGUGUAGCGGUGAAAUGCGUAGAUAUCUGGAGGAACACCGGUGGUGUAAACGGCUUUCUGGACCAUUACUGACGCUGAUGCACGAAAGCGUGGGUAGCAAACAGG